rnacentral:rRNA from 1 species
ACGGGAGGCAGCAGUGGGGAAUAUUGCACAAUGGGGGAAACCCUGAUGCAGCGACGCCGCGUGAGUGAAGAAGUAUUUCGGUAUGUAAACUUCUAUCAGCAGGGAAGAUAAUGACGGUACCUGACUAAGAAGCCCCGGCUAACUACGUGCCAGCAGCCGCGGUAAUACGUAGGGGGCAAGCGUUAUCCGGAUUUACUGGGUGUAAAGGGAGCGUAGACGGAGAAGCAAGUCAGGUGUGAAAGGCAUGGGCUUAACCUGUGGACUGCAUUGGAAACUGUCUUUCUUGAGUGCCGGAGGGGUAAGCGGAAUUCCUAGUGUAGCGGUGAAAUGCGUAGAUAUUAGGAGGAACACCAGUGGCGAAGGCGGCUUACUGGACGGUAACUGACGUUGAGGCUCGAAAGCGUGGGGAGCAAACAGGAUUAGAUACCCUGGUA